AAUUCUGUCUGGACACAAAGGAAAAAUCGGAAUUGGCAGAUACUCUCUCGGUUACUCCCUGGUUGCAGUUAAUGAGCAGCCUGUUCGCCUGCAGCCUUUAGACAGGGAACAAGGGGCACAGCUUUUCCCACUUUAUUGGUUACUGACUGGGAAAGAAGGAUUCCACUAGCACUGCUUGGCUAUCAAAGCUGGGCAAUGUGAUCCUCUAAGCCACAUGUUUAGGAAUUGACAAACAAUUGUGGAGGUUGGCAAUUCCAAAAUCUGAGGAGUAGGUAAACUGGAAGACUAGAGACCCUGGGAAGAGUUGAUGUUACAGCUUGAAUCUGAAGGCAGUCUGCUGGAAGAAUCCCCUCUUUCUUGUAGAAGCCCCUUGACUGGGCAAACUUCAAACAAGUGACUGAGCUCCCUUAGCUGCCACUGAUUGGACCAGGAUGGACAACAAAUGUAGGAGGAGUUCAUCUGGAUCUAGCCUGAGCCAGUCAGAUAUCCCCUUUGAAUCCAUGCCUAUAGAAAUACAAAAAAAUGGAAGCCAGAGGAUGAUGGAUCCUUGAAGUAAUAAGUCAGGUAGAUCUUGAAAAUUUUUGACUCAAUCCAUAUUGAUGAACACAAGAAUAAUUCUGGUCUAC
rnacentral:lncRNA from 1 species